rnacentral:rRNA from 1 species
GACGAACGCUGGCGGCGUGCCUAAUACAUGCAAGUAGAACGCUGAAGAGAGGAGCUUGCUCUUCUUGGAUGAGUUGCGAACGGGUGAGUAACGCGUAGGUAACCUGCCUGGUAGCGGGGGAUAACUAUUGGAAACGAUAGCUAAUACCGCAUAAAAUUGAUUAUUGCAUGAUAAUUAAUUGAAAGAUGCAAUUGCAUCACUACCAGAUGGACCUGCGUUGUAUUAGCUAGUUGGUGAGGUAACGGCUCACCAAGGCGACGAUACAUAGCCGACCUGAGAGGGUGAUCGGCCACACUGGGACUGAGACACGGCCCAGACUCCUACGGGAGGCAGCAGUAGGGAAUCUUCGGCAAUGGGGGGAACCCUGACCGAGCAACGCCGCGUGAGUGAAGAAGGUUUUCGGAUCGUAAAGCUCUGUUGUAAGAGAAGAACGGGUGUGAGAGUGGAAAGUUCACAAUGUGACGUAUCUACCAGAAAGGACGCA